rnacentral:rRNA from 1 species
AGUGAACGCUGGCGGUAGGCCUAACACAUGCAAGUCGAACGGCAGCACAGUAAGAGCUUGCUCUUACGGGUGGCGAGUGGCGGACGGGUGAGGAAUACAUCGGAAUCUACUUUUUCGUGGGGGAUAACGUAGGGAAACUUACGCUAAUACCGCAUACGACCUACGGGUGAAAGCAGGGGAUCUUCGGACCUUGCGCGAUUGAAUGAGCCGAUGUCGGAUUAGCUAGUUGGCGGGGUAAGGGCCCACCAAGGCGACGAUCCGUAGCUGGUCUGAGAGGAUGAUCAGCCACACUGGAACUGAGGCACGGUCCAGACUCCUACGGGAGGCAGCAGUGGGGAAUAUUGGACAAUGGGCGCAAGCCUGAUCCAGCCAUACCGCGUGGGUGAAGAAGGCCUUCGGGUUGUAAAGCCCUUUUGUUGGGAAAGAAAAGCAGCAGGUUAAUACCCCGCUGUUCUGACGGUACCCAAAGAAUAAGCACCGGCUAACUUCGUG